rnacentral:lncRNA from 1 species
CUGGCCCCGCCCCGCUGCGUGGUCUCUCUGGUAGCAGCUCUUGGCUUCUGGGCUGUGUCCCUGCGCCGCGCGCUGUGCGGGACUCUGGUUGGUCUGUGAACGCGCUCGCCCUCGGACUCGCGGAGCCCGGCGUCCUUCUGAAAGAUACCCGCUGCUGAAGAAGGUGACGCUGUGGGUGAGCCUGGUGCCCCUGGAAUAGGGGCCGGCGUUGCAGACUCGGGUUCGGCCACGGUCAGAGUUCACGAGCGCACAAGGUCAUCAUUGGGCCAGCUCCAUGUGGGUGAAUUAAGCUCACCUUUGCGUGAGCUCGUGGAACCAAGGCUAGAGUCUCUCGGCUAAUGCAAGCUGCUGACAGUGAUUUCUAGCUGGGGUGAGGGUGCAGGCUUGUCAUCCCAGCGCUCUGGGAGGCUGAGGAGGGAGGAUCUCAAGUUCCCGCCCAGCCUAGGUAACUAACUCUGCAACUUAGCGAGAUGCUGUUUCAAACAAUAAAAAAAAGGGCUAGGUAUGUGUGAAGACUCCAGGUUCAAUCCAGUACCAUAUAACUAAGCGUAACAUCUAACAGAAAACUGAGUUAGCGAUGAGCGGGAUACAGCUGAAGAAAUUGGUCCAGUCCAUCUGACAAAAAGCGGUAAAAUCUGUGAUGCAGGACUGGACUCCUGGGUGUGAAAUAUGGGUGCCAACCUCACUGUUUCAAAGGUGAAGUUACAGUACUUCCGAACACUGUAAAUGUGACUGCUGCCACCAGUGCGGGAGCUGCACUGACAUCACCUCCAAGAGGAUUAGUAGAAGAAGAAAAAGAGCCAGGAUCGCCGGGAUGGAGUUGCGUUGAAACGUGCCCUGUCACAGCUGCUGUGUACCCUGCGUGUCUGCAUUUCUCUCCAGAGUGCACCUGGCCACGCCCGCAGGAACACCCAGAAUCCGACCUUGAGCCCCGAUGCGCGGUGAUGGCAUUUAGGAGGCAAGAAGAGGAAGAUUCUUCUAGUUCCCCAUCAUCUCUACUCACCACCGUAUUCUUCAUCCCAGAUGUGUCUCCUGGAGCUGCCAUUAUAACCCACUUGUGUCCCUGGGCAACUUCUGAGCAGAUGAGUGGACCUGGCGCGGGUAGGGAAGGCAGCCACGGACCCCACUUUCCCCGGACCUGGAAUUAGACCCUGGAUUGAUACUUGUCUUCCACCCCAGAGACUGUUAUUCCUUGUAGGGAUGUGAUCAGCUUCAAUAUGGUCUCCUAUCAAUUUUGUCACCAAAUGGCUGGAAAGUGUUCAUCGGUUG